AAAUAGAUACCCCAGGUAGUCCACGCCGUAAACGAUGAGUGCUAAGUGUUAGAGGGUUUCCGCCCUUUAGUGCUGCAGCUAACGCAUUAAGCACUCCGCCUGGGGAGUACGGCCGCAAGGCUGAAACUCAAAGGAAUUGACGGGGGCCCGCACAAGCGGUGGAGCAUGUGGUUUAAUUCGAAGCAACGCGAAGAACCUUACCAGGUCUUGACAUCCUCUGCCAACCCUAGAGAUAGGGCGUUCCCCUUCGGGGGACAGAGUGACAGGUGGUGCAUGGUUGUCGUCAGCUCGUGUCGUGAGAUGUUGGGUUAAGUCCCGCAACGAGCGCAACCCUUGAUCUUAGUUGCCAGCAUUCAGUUGGGCACUCUAAGGUGACUGCCGGUGACAAACCGGAGGAAGGUGGGGAUGACGUCAAAUCAUCAUGCCCCUUAUGACCUGGGCUACACACGUGCUACAAUGGAUGGUACAAAGAGCUGCGAACCCGCGAGGUAAGCGAAUCUCAUAAAGCCAUUCUCAGUUCGGAUUGU
rnacentral:rRNA from 1 species